rnacentral:rRNA from 1 species
CCUGAGAAACCCAAAGAUCGAAUGGGGAGAUUCAUCGUCAGCGGCGUUGGCUUCCGUGUGGUUCACGAUGUUCGAGACUUCGGUCUUGCGUCACGCGUCCACUGCGGUAUGUCCGGAGUCGUCGGCGUGCACUUCUCCCCUAGUAGGACGUCGUGACCCGUUGGGUGUCGGUUACGGUCUGGUGGUUGCCUGUCCGUCGCAUUUAUGCGCGCGGAGCAGACCGUGUACCGACCAACUGCCCGGCGGUACUCGCACGGUAUCGGGCCGCACCUUACGUGCGUUCGGGCCCGUCGGCAAGCGCGAUCAGUGUUCCGGAGGUGCGGACCUAGUGCCGUCCCCGGGCGCUGGUCAGCUGUUGGUCGGCGGUGUUCUCGGACAGGCUCAUCCAAAAUGAUACCGGUCGGCGACGCUACUGCUUUGGGUACUUUC